UAAUAAGAAGCAAAAUUUGCAUUUAGUUUCGACCUAAAAAUAUGAUCAAAGAUCCUUAUUUA
rnacentral:tRNA from 1 species